rnacentral:rRNA from 1 species
AUAAUCUACCUGAUGAUCUGGGAUAACAUUUUCGAAAGGGGUGCUAAUACCGGAUAAGCCCACGAGGUCUUCGGAUCUUGCGGGAAAAGGGGGGGACCUUCGGGCCUUCUGUCAUCAGAUGAGUCUACGUACCAUUAGCUAGUUGGUGGGGUAAAGGCCUACCAAGGCUUCGAUGGUUAGCUGGUCUGAGAGGAUGAUCAGCCACACUGGAACUGAGACGCGGUCCAG